rnacentral:rRNA from 1 species
UGCCUUAGUAGCGGCGAGUGAAGCGGCAAAAGCUCAAAUUUGAAAUCUGGCUCUUUCAGAGUCCGAGUUGUAAUUUGAAGAAGGUAUCUUUGGGUCUGGCUCUUGUCUAUGUUUCUUGGAACAGAACGUCACAGAGGGUGAGAAUCCCGUGCGAUGAGAUGAUCCAGGCCUAUGUAAAGUUCCUUCGAAGAGUCGAGUUGUUUGGGAAUGCAGCUCUAAGUGGGUGGUAAAUUCCAUCUAAAGCUAAAUAUUGGCGAGAGACCGAUAGCGAACAAGUACAGUGAUGGAAAGAUGAAAAGAACUUUGAAAAGAGAGUGAAAAAGUACGUGAAAUUGUUGAAAGGGAAGGGCUUGAGAUCAGACUUGGUAUUUUGUAUGUUACUUCUUCGGGGGUGGCCUCUACAGUUUAUCGGGCCAGCAUCAGUUUGGGCGGUAGGAGAAUUGCGUUGGAAUGUGGCACGGCUUCGGUUGUGUGUUAUAGCCUUCGUCGAUACUGCCAGCCUAGACUGAGGACUGCGGUUUAUACCUAGGAUGUUGGCAUAAUGAUCUUAAGUCGCCCGUCUUGA